rnacentral:rRNA from 1 species
GCAUAUCAAUAAGCGGAGGAAAAGAAAAUAACAAUGAUUCCUCUAGUAACUGCGAGUGAAGAGGGAAAAGCUCAAAUUUUAAAUCUGUUAGGUUUACCUAACCGAGUUGUAAUUUGAAGAAGCGUUUUCUGCGAAUUUGGUUAGUCCAAAUCCUUUGGAAUAAGGUAUCAUGGAGGGUGAGAAUCCCGUUCGGUUAACCAAAGCGCUUUACGAUACGCUUUCAAAGAGUCAAGUUGUUUGGGAUUGCAGCUUAAAAUGGGAGGUAAUUUCUCCUAAGGCUAAAUAUUGGCGAGAGACCGAUAGCGAACAAGUACCGUGAGGGAAAGAUGAAAAGAACUUUGAAAAGAGAGUUAAACAGUACGUGAAAUUGUUGAAAGGGAAACGAUUAAAGUCAGUCGUACCUACGAGUGAUCAACCUACUCGAGUGCGAUUUUGUGGGUAUGUUAGAGCUUAAAAACCUUCAUGCUUACAAAUUGGUGCUCUUUGGGCGUACUUUCUCGUAUGGUAGGUUAACAUCAAUUUCGAUUGUUAUAAAAUGACUGGAGGAAUGUAGCUUCGAUCUUGGUUGAAGUGUUAUAGCCUUUGGUAGAUGUAAUGAUUGGGAUUGAGGAUUGCAACGGAUACCCUCUGGGCUAUUCGUCUGAUCUCUGGAAGUUACCUUGGUGUCGAAAGCGUGCUUACGAUAUUAAGGUUGACGGCCAAUAGGUUAGAACGUGAUUAAAUUCGUUAAGGAUGUUGACGUAAUGGCUUUAAACGAC